rnacentral:misc_RNA from 1 species
UCUCCGUAGGUGAACCUGCGGAGGGAUCAUUACACAAUAAACAUAUGAAGGCUGCACCGCCAACAGGCGGCAAGGCUGGAGUAUUUUAUUACCCUUGUCUUUUGCGCACUUGUUGUUUCCUGGGCGGGUUCGCCCGCCUCCAGGACCACAUGAUAAACCUUUUUUAUGCAGUUGCAAUCAGCGUCAGUACAACAAAUGUAAAUCAUUUACAACUUUCAACAACGGAUCUCUUGGUUCUG